rnacentral:rRNA from 1 species
CCAAUAGCGUAUAUUAAAGUUGUUGCAGUUAAAAAGCUCGUAGUUGAAUUUCGGGGUUAGUAGGUUGGUCAUGCCUCUGGUAUGUACUGGUCUCACUGAUUCCUCCUUCCUGAUGAACCUUAAUGCCAUUAAUUUGGUGUUUUGGGGAAUUUGGACUGUUACUUUGAAAAAAUUAGAGUGUUUAAAGCAAGCUAACGCUUGAAUACAUUAGCAUGGAAUAAUGAAAUAGGACGUUCGAUCCUAUUUUGUUGGUUUCUAAGAUUGACGUAAUGAUUAAUAGGGAUAGUUGGGGGCAUUAGUAUUCAAUUGUCAGAGGUGAAAUUCUUGGAUUUAUUGAAGACUAACUACUGCGAAAGCAUUUGCCAAGGAUGUUUUCAUUAAUCAAGAACGAAAGUUAGGGGAUCGAAGACGAUCAGAUACCGUCGUAGUCUUAACCAUAAACUAUGCCGACUAGGGAUCGGAUGAUGUUAAUUUUUUAAUGACUCAUUCGGCGCCUUACG